rnacentral:rRNA from 1 species
GCCCAGCCUUAACAAAACAAUCAAAUAACGAAUUGUUCGCCAAAUAACUACGAGUUAAAACUUAAAAUUUAAAAGACUUGACGGUACUUCACACCAACCUAGAGGAGCCUGUCUAUUAACCGAUAAUCCACGAUUAACCCAACCCUUUCUAGCCCAACAGUCUAUAUACCGCCGUCGCCAGCUUACCUUGUGAAAGAAACAAAGUAAGCCCAAUAAUAUCACAUUAAUACGACAGGUCGAGGUGUAACCAAUGAAAGGGGUCAAGAUGGGCUACAUUUUCUUAACCCAGAAAAGCCUACAACGAAUAAACUAUGAAACUAGAAACUGAAGGUGGAUUUAGCAGUAGACUAAGAAUAGAAUACUUAAUCGAAAUUAACGCAAUGAAGUGCGC